rnacentral:tRNA from 2 species
AGUCGAAUGUCUCAGAAAGGUUUUAUCUUAUAGAUAAAAAGCCUACACUUAGUUUGGGGUUUUUACUG